UACGAAGGGGGCUAGCGUUGCUCGGAAUUACUGGGCGUAAAGGGCGCGUAGGCGGACAGUUUAGUCAGAGGUGAAAGCCCAGGGCUCAACCUUGGAAUUGCCUUUGAUACUGGCUGUCCUGAGUUCGGGAGAGGUGAGUGGAAUGCCGAGUGUAGAGGUGAAAUUCGUAGAUAUUCGGCGGAACACCAGUGGCGAAGGCGACUCACUGGCCCGAUACUGACGCUGAGGCGCGAAAGCGUGGGGAGCAAACAGG
rnacentral:rRNA from 1 species